rnacentral:rRNA from 1 species
CCUACGGGUGGCAGCAGUGAGGACUAUUGGUCAAUGGCCGGAAGGCUGAACCAGCCAUGCCGCGUGAAGGUCAGUGCCCUAUGGGCGUUAAACUUCUUUUGUGCGGGAGCAAUAAUGGUCACGUGUGGCCAGACGAGAGUACCGUACGAAUAAGCAUCGGCUAACUCCGUGCCAGCAGCCGCGGUAAUACGGAGGAUCCGAGCGUUAUCCGGAUUUAUUGGGUUUAAAGGGUGCGUAGGCGGUCAGGUAAGUUAGAGGUGAAAGCUCGAUGCUCAACAUCGAAACUGCCUCUGAUACUGUCUGACUAGAGUGUAGUUGCGGAAGGCGGAAUGUGUGGUGUAGCGGUGUAAUGCUUAGAUAUCACACAGAACACCGAUUGCGAAGGCAGCUUUCCAAGCUAUUACUGACGCUGAGGCACGAAAGCGUGGGGAGCGAACAGGAUUAGAUACCCCUGUAGUC